rnacentral:rRNA from 1 species
UACGUAGGGUGCAAGCGUUGUCCGGAAUUAUUGGGCGUAAAGAGCUCGUAGGCGGUUUUGUUGCGUCGGCUGUGAAAUCCCGAGGCUCAACCUCGGGUCUGCAGUCGAUACGAGCAAACUAGAGUGUUGCAGGGGAGACUGGAAUUCCUGGUGUAGCGGUGAAAUGCGCAGAUAUCAGGAAGAACACCAAUGGCGAAAGCAGCUUUCUGGGACGGUACUGACGCUGAGACGCGAAAGCGUGGGGAGCGAACAGG